GCAUCAUGAGGAGGCUGUUGGGCUCUCUGCUGGGACUUUUGUGCACCCAGGUUUGCUGUGUGAGAGGGAUGCAGGUGGAGCAGAGUCCUUCAACCUUGAUUCUCCAAGAGGGAAACAAUUCCACCCUGCAGUGCAAUUUUUCUUCCUCUGUGAACAAUGUGCAGUGGUUUCUCCAAAAUCCUGGAGGACGCCUCAUCAACCUGUUUUCCGUUCCUUCAGGAACAAAGCGGAAUGGAAGACUAACGGCCACAACAGUCACCAAGGAACGCCGCAGCUCACUGUACAUUUCCUCUUCCCAGACCACAGACUCUGCCACUUAUUUCUGUGCUGUGGACCCACACUGCUCCCCAGGAACUUGUAGCCCAUACACAAACCCUCAGCUGGGUGGAGCACCUUCACAGCCACAGACACCACAAGACCACCUCAGCAGCAUUUGUUGUUCAGUGUCUCUUACCUACAUUGGCAGUUUUACUCACAAAUAUUUUUGCCCGUAG